GGGGGAUAACCCGGGGAAACCCGGGCUAAGACCGCAUAAGCCUUCGAGGUCAAACUCAAAGGGAAAAGGGUUUAGCUUUCGAGCUUGAUCCUGCCGGAGGAGGGGCCCGCGUCCCAUUAGCUAGUUGGUGGGGUAAAAGCCUACCAAGGCUACGAUGGGUAGCCGGUCUGAGAGGACGGACGGCCACACUGGAACUGAGACACGGUCCAGACUCCUACGGGAGGCAGCAGUGGGGAAUUUUGGGCAAUGGGCGAAAGCCUGACCCAGCAACGCCGCGUGGAGGAUGAAGGCCCUCGGGUCGUAAACUCCUGUCCUAGGGGAAGAAAAAAAUGACGGUACCCUUGGAGGAAGCCCCGGCUAACUCCGUGCCAGCAGCCGCGGUAAGGCGGGGGGGGCGAGCGUUGUUCGGAAUUACUGGGCGUAAAGGGCGCGCAGGCGGCUUGGGAAGUCUUGGGUGAAAGCCCCCAGCUCAACUGGGGAAUGGCCCGAGAAACCACUAGGCUGGAGUGCUGGAGAGGGAAGCGGAAUUCCCGGUGGAGCGGUGAAAUGCGUAGAUAUCGGGAGGA
rnacentral:rRNA from 1 species